AGUAACACGUGGGCAACCUGCCCUGAAGCGGGGGAUAACAUCUGGAAACAGGUGCUAAUACCGCAUAACAACGAAAACCACAUGGUUUUCGUUUCAAAGAUGGUUUCGGCUAUCACUUCAGGAUGGGCCCGCGGUGCAUUAGCUAGUUGGUAAGGUAACGGCUUACCAAGGCGAUGAUGCAUAGCCGAGUUGAGAGACUGAUCGGCCACAAUGGAACUGAGACACGGUCCAUACUCCUACGGGAGGCAGCAGCU
rnacentral:rRNA from 1 species